rnacentral:antisense_RNA from 1 species
ACAAAAUGGCGACACGUGGUUAGCAUUCGUCGCCAACGAGAAAUUGGGGUCGGCCCGAAAGCUCUAGAAUGCACCCCCCUUCUUCCCCGGGGCCUUCCACCUCCGCGAGUUUUAUGACUUAAAAAACCCCACAGGCUGGUCUGAAGAGGAAGACAAACAUAAAGAUGAAGUGCUUAAUUCAAGGUCACACAAUGUCGGGGAUGGACCUCCAGAUUUCCUUACUGACCUGCAUUAUCUUGUGGAUACCUGAGUGAAUUCCACACCACCCAUUUUAUAGAUGAAACCACUGAGACAUGGAGCAACUGACUGAGUAGUCACUGCCCCACCCCUGCCUGGAGCCUCACACAUGACUCGUCUCCUCUCAGUGACCACAGGUGAGACGUGGUCUUGUAACACAGUGGUUAAGAAUGUGACUUUGGAGCCAGCCUGCUAGGGGCUGAAUUCUGACUCAGCCAUUUACUAACUGUGUGACCUUAGGGAGGAGGACCUGGUUGAUAGAAGAAUUUAUCUCGUAGUCUUAACAUCCACUGUAAUUCCAAACUUUGAGGACGAUAGAGAUCAGUGGGCUUUGACUGCCCAGCAUGCAGUCU